rnacentral:rRNA from 1 species
CUUGACAUACCGAUGACAGGUCUAGAGAUAGAUUUUCCCUUUUAGGGCAUCGGAUACAGGUGGUGCAUGGUUGUCGUCAGCUCGUGUCGUGAGAUGUUGGGUUAAGUCCCGCAACGAGCGCAACCCUAUUGUUAGUUGCCAUCAUUAAGUUGGGCACUCUAGCGAGACUGCCAGUAAUAAACUGGAGGAAGGUGGGGAUGACGUCAAAUCAUCAUGCCCCUUAUGACCUGGGCUACACACGUGCUACAAUGGGAAGUACAACGAGUUGCGAGGCGGUGACGCCAAGCUAAUCUCUUAAAGCUUCUCUCAGUUCGGAUUGUAGGUUGCAACUCGCCUACAUGAAGUCGGAAUCGCUAGUAAUCGCGGAUCAGCACGCCGCGGUGAAUACGUUCCCGGGCCUUGUACACACCGCCCGUCACACCACGAGAGUUUGUAACACCCGAAGUCGGUGAGGUAACCGUAAGGAGCCAACCGCCUAAGGUGGGAUAGAUGAUUGGGGUGAAGUCGUAACAAGGUAAGCGUAGAUGA